UGCCAGACUCCUACGGGAGGCAGCAGUGAGGAAUAUUGGUCAAUGGCCGAGAGGCUGAACCAGCCAAGUCGCGUGAGGGAUGACGGCCCUACGGGUUGUAAACCUCUUUUGUCGGGGAGCAAAGAGAGUCACGUGUGGCUCAUUGAGAGUACCCGAAGAAAAAGCAUCGGCUAACUCCGUGCCAGCAGCCGCGGUAAUACGGAGGAUGCGAGCGUUAUCCGGAUUUAUUGGGUUUAAAGGGUGCGCAGGCGGAGGUGCAAGUCAGCGGUCAAAUUGCGGGGCUCAACCCCGUACUGCCGUUGAAACUGCAUCCCUUGAGUGCGCGAGAAGUAUGCGGAAUGCGUGGUGUAGCGGUGAAAUGCAUAGAUAUCACACAGAACACCGAUUGCGAAGGCAUCUGACGAAUCGGAGAUUGACGCUGAUGCACGAAAGCGUGGGUAUCGAACAGGAUUAGAUACCCCUGUAGC
rnacentral:rRNA from 1 species